UACAGAGGCCACAAGCGUUAGGCGGAAUCACUGGGCUUAAAGCGUGUGUAGGCGGGUUGGUAAGUACCUUGUGAAAUCCCACGGCUUAACCGUGGAAAGGCUUGGUAUACUGCCGAUCUUGAGUCAUCUAGGGGCAACCGGAACAGAUGGUGGAGCGGUGAAAUGCAUAGAUAUCAUCUGGAACGCCAAUGGUGCAGACAGGUUGCUGGGGAUGAACUGACGCUGAGGCACGAAAGCCAGGGGAGCAAACGGG
rnacentral:rRNA from 1 species